rnacentral:tRNA from 1 species
UCCCUGGUGGUCCAGUGGUUAGGACUCUGCGCUCCCACUGCAGGAGGCACAGGUUGGAUCCCUGGUUGGGGAA